rnacentral:rRNA from 1 species
UACGGGGGGGGCAAGCGUUGUUCGGAAUUACUGGGCGUAAAGGGCGCGUAGGCGGUCAGAUAAGUCAGCUGUGAAAACCUCGGGGCUUAACCCGAGGCCUGCAGUUGAAACUGUCUGGCUGGAGUGUGGGAGAGGAGAGUGGAAUUCCCGGUGUAGCGGAUGAAAUGCGUAGAUAUCGGGAGGAACACCGGGUGGCGAAGGCGGCUCUCUGGACCACUACUGACGCUGAGGCGCGAAAGCUAGGGGGAGCAAAACAGGAUUAGAAACCCCCU